CGUUGCUGGAAAUGGUCAGAACCAGGUCUAUGCCCUCAUUUUGGAAGUUCUGAAGGUGGGCAUGUGACCCUUCUAAGAACAGGCUCCAUCACCAUGGACUAAUAGGAACAGGUUUCAGAGUCUGGAAAGGCCUGACGGUGCAGGUGUAAUAAUGGAACGACAGCCAUUCUGUGUAACUUUAUUGGCUGAAACAGGGUCAAGUGACCCUUCUAAAUACAGGCCCUGUAGGAGAGUGCUUAGGUCAUUUUACUGUUCUUCAGAGACCAUGGACUCCACUGAGGCCUGUGGGCCUAUCUUUGCCCACAUCUUUGCCCAUUCUUGGACAUUAAGCCUGGGAAAGUCAGGGCCGUGUUUGUUUGAUUGAUUUCUAUACCGCCCUUCCAAAAAUGGCUCAGGGUGGUUUACACCGAGAAAUAAUGAAUAAAUAAGAUGGAUCCCUGUCCCCAAAGGGCUCACAAUCUAAAAAGGAAACCAAGAUAGACACCAGCAACAGUCACUGGAGGUGCUGUGCUGGGGGUGGAUAGGGCCAGAUAUAUGACACCGGUGGAUAUAUGACACCGAAGAGCCUGUCCUACCCUCCAGCAGGCCUGAAAACUCACCAGAUGGCUGUUUUUACCAUGGGCCAGGUUCCAGAUCCAGAAACAACUUUCCAAGUGAACCAGUAUGAUUAACUAAAAUGCGAUUGUGGAUACCACCCCUGCUCUUGCUGUGGAAACUGAAGCCGGAGAGCCUCCAGCUACUGCCCCAAAAAACAGAAGCAUGAGUUAAAUAGAUUCUGAAACAGAAGCUCCUGUGAAAAGAAAGCUGCAUAGGAAAAAAUGUGUGAAGAAAAGACCUCAUCAUUAUUGGUGUGAUGACUAUGGUUGCCACAAUGCAGACAGGAAAGCUAUUCACAUGCACAUGCAAAACCAGACUAAGGAAGCCGAGCCCAGUUUUGCACACAUGUAUGUACUGCCGGGAUUGGGCCCGAUCCCAGUGGCACCAAAGUGGAAAACCUGCCUCUGAAUCCUCCCUCUAAAAUGAGGUUAAAUGUAAGCGCUCCCUUAACCUCAUUUUUCCAGUCAUGUCAGCUGUGGCUGCAAUCAGCAGCUAGCAGACUUGGGGAGAGGGGAUCCCCAGAAUGCACUGCAUGCACACAAGUGCAUUACUGUAGCUCUGGGGGGUGGAGUGAUGCAUCCUGGCACCCUGACCCUCGGAGCGACUGGCAGCAGCUGGUGCUCAUCUGGGCAGGCGAUGCACCCUAACCCAAGGAAAGAGAACUGCUUUUGUGAGGGGCAGGGGGUAAGCUGUUGCCCUAUUGCCCUUUUCCACUGAUCAUGAGAAAAGGGUCCAGGGACUUUUCUGAUGGUGGAUGUGGCUGCCAUUCUUUUUUUGUCAAGCAGGCCCCAGGAUUUUCAAUGCAACUAUAAGUGCUGCAGGUCUAGUGAGGAUUGGCCAUUGUAUGAUUGCAGGACAAGCUGGUCGGUGCCUUUGAGAACAUUCAGCUUAGUCAAUGUAUCGUGCUUCUCAUGUGCUUGCACUGAUGGUGACCAAUAAAAUAAUUUUGUUUUAAA